rnacentral:lncRNA from 1 species
AGGCUGGCGGUAAAGAGGGGAAAAUCUAACUUAGGCAGAGGGUGUGUUCCUCUUUGUCACCCACUAGGCUCCUCGCGCCGCGCGUGGGCGAGCCGCGGGCACCCGGGAAGGCGGGGGCACCCGCGAAAACGGCCACCUUCCCGGCCCGCGGUCGGCCUCGGGGGCCGAGAUUGCGGCCGGAGGUCCGGAAGCAGCGUCCGGCGCUGUCACUGCGCCGGGUGGGAUGGGAGGAAGCGGGGGAAGGGCGCCGCGGGGCGGGGGAGGCGAGAGGGGACGCGCGCGGAGCCGGCAGCCCGAGUCCCGGGAGGUAAGAGGAGGGUGCAAAGGGCGGUACGGGGCCCGAGGCCCCCGGGCUCCGGCUAUUGUUGCCGGGCUGCCCCGAGGCCGGCGGGCGAGUCUCCCGCCUUGGUAGGGGAAGCCCGAUCCCCCCCGCCGCCACCUCCUCCAGGCAGGACCCGCGGGCCACGCAACCACCUCCACCCGCGUCCCGGUCGGUCGGCUCCGGGCGCCCGACUCGCGCCCAAGUUGCCGCCCGCCCGCCCCGCGCGGUCAUUGUUCGCCGCGCGCCUCCUACCUCCACGGCGCCGGCGGCUCCGGCUCCGGCUCCCACUCCCGGCCUCCCGGCUCUGCAGCUCCGAGCCCCCGGCGGCCGAGGGCGCGGCGGCUCCGCUGCGCGUGCGGCGGGGGCGCUCGGCUAUUAAUACCCGCGGGCGGCGGCAGCGGCGGCGCGGACGCGCAAGCAGGGCUGGCGCUGGCCGGCCGAGGUCCGAGCCAUCAAAGGUGGCGCGGGGCGGAGGGGAGGGCGGAGCAGGCAGGGUGGGUGGGGAGCGGGCUCAGGGUCGCCAUGGCCGCCUCGACGCCGGGCCGAGCGCCACUCGCUUGGGGAGGAGCAGCGGCUCAAAGCGGGCGGCGGCCGCGUCCCCGCCCCGCGCGCCAGCCGAGUGCCCGCAGCCCUGCGCCCGCGCCGGCCCCGCCGUGUCCAGGCCGGCGAGCGGGAAGUGA